GACGAACGCUGGCGGCGUGCUUAACACAUGCAAGUCGAACGGAAAGGCCCUGCUUUUGUGGGGUGCUCGUGUGGCGAACGGGUGAGUAACACGUGAGUAACCUGCCCUUGACUUUGGGAUAACUUCAGGAAACUGGGGCUAAUACCGGAUAGGAGCUCCUGCUGCAUGGUGGGGGUUGGAAAGUUUCGGCGGUUGGGGAUGGACUCGCGGCUUAUCAGCUUGUUGGGGGGGUAGUGGCUUACCAAGGCUUUGACGGGUAGCCGGCCUGAGAGGGUGACCGGCCACAUUGGGACUGAGAUACGGCCCAGACUCCUACGGGAGGCAGCAGUGGGGAAUAUUGCACAAUGGGCGGAAGCCUGAUGCAGCAACGCCGCGUGCGGGAUGACGGCCUUCGGGUUGUAAACCGCUUUCGCCUGUGACGAAGCGUGAGUGACGGUAAUGGGUAAAGAAGCACCGGCUAACUACGUG
rnacentral:rRNA from 1 species